rnacentral:rRNA from 1 species
GACGAACGCUGGCGGCGUGCUUAACACAUGCAAGUCGAGCGGAGCGGCGAACGGGUGAGUAACGCGUGAGUAACUGCCCCCCUCUCUGGGAUAACAGUUGGAAACGGCUGCUAAUACCGGCUAUUGGGGGAUGACUCGCGUCCUAUCAGCUUGUUGGUGGGGUAGUGGACUACCAAGGCGACGACGGGUAGCCGGCCUGGGAGGGCGACCGGCCACAUUGGGCUGAGGUACGGCCCAAACUCCUACGUGAGGCAGCAGUGGGGAAUAGUGCACAAUGGGGGAAACCCUGAUGCAGCAACGCCGCGUGCGUGAUGACGGCCUUCGGGGUGUAAACCGCUUUCAGCCAUGACGCGGUACCGGAAUAGAAAGCCACGGCUAACUCCGUGCCAGCAGCCGCGGGAAUUC